CAAAAAUACAGUAUGUACUAUACUGUACAACAGUUGGUAUAUUUUGUCACUGGGCAAGUAGCACAUGUCAUGCUAUGGGGAGAGCGUCCUAAUUCCAUUAAGUAGCUUUGCACCUGUCCAUGCAGCACACUGUAUAUAUCUGACCCCAUUCCUAUCAACAGCAGUGCUUGGAUACAUUUAACACAGUGGUGAAUUUAGCUAGUAUCUCAAACCUCAGAUACAACAACCCUGUAAAAACACCACCAUUAAAUCAUAAAAACAAAUUUAUUGCUUCAAACUGACAUGACUUAAUUGCCCCCCCCCUCCCUUCCCCUUGUGC